rnacentral:rRNA from 1 species
AUUGAACGCUGGCGGCAGGCCUAACACAUGCAAGUCGAGCGAGCGGCGGACGGGUGAGUAAUGUAUGGGGACUGCCCGAUAGAGGGGGAUAACUACUGGAAACGGUGGCUACUACCGCAUACUAUCGUUUAACCCAUAUGGGAUUAGCUAGUAGGUGGGGAAAAGGCUCACCUAGGCGACGAUCUCUAGCUGGUCUGAGAGGAUGAUCCGCCACACUGGGACUGAGACACGGCCCAGACUCCUACGGAGGCAGCAGUGGGGAAUAUUGCGCAAUGGGCGCAAGCCUGAUGCAGCCAUGCCGCGUGUAUGAAGAAGGCUUUAGGGUUGUAAAGUUCUUUAAGUUGGGAGGCGUUACCUACAGAAUAAGCACCGGCUAACUUCGUGCCAGCAGCCGCGGUAAUAC